rnacentral:lncRNA from 1 species
AAUAAAAAUUGUUUAAUGGCAUUGUCCAAACGGAAGACACAAUAUACAAUAAUAUGAAAAAUGCAUAAGAACAAUAAUAACAAUAUAUGACUUAAAAUAAAAUCAGUAGAUGAAAAAAUCUACACCGCCAAAAGAAAAACAUAUCAUACUCCAGUAAAACAAUCUCAACAAUCAUAUAAGAAUAGUAAUAACGGAAAUACUGAUUCACACCUAAUAUAUUAUGAAAUGAUUCAAAAUAAAAACAAAUGUUAGACAAAAUACUAAAUGAACCCCUCUCCAGCGCUACUAUAUCCGACUUA